GAAGCGAUCGAGAAAUUUCCUCGACUUAGAAGACAAAGUUACCAUACGUAUUAAAUCUUUACGGUUCUCGAAAUUGAAGCAUCUUCAUGAGAAUCAAAAUAGAAGUGAGACUGAAGCCGAACAUGAACAUAAUUUUUGGUGAAACUACUCCUUGUCCAGUGUCCGCUGCAGCACCACGUGGUUACACCGGCAUCGAUCUAUGCCUGAUGUUGUUUUCUGUAUAGACAUUUUAAAUACCAUGACCCUACAGAUGUUAAUUGGUAUGACGGAAGAAGUAAAAUUUUUGCAGAACAGAUUUUUGUAUGCUGUGUCCAUGUCAGAUACAUAAGGAAAGUUCAAGCCAGAUCUGCUAUAGCAAACUGAACAUAAAGUGGCAUAUUUGUGUGUCAGGAAACAAGGAACAUGUAAUGCUGGACUGAUCGAGAAUCGAAACGGGGAUCCCUGCAUCACCACUUACAUAAAAAGAACUACAUGUACCAGAAGGAGACAGUAAAGAGGAACGGACAUAUCACACCAUAAGACGUGCUUCAAAAUCUGAAUAUACAGAAUGAAUUUUGCUUACUGCAGAUCCUUCUGAAAGAACACGUUUGUUGUAUUGACAUAAAAACAACUGAAUUGUCAGGAUCCUUGAACAUGACGCAUUUGGCUGCAUAUGAUGGCAAUUAAAAAUGCAUACGAGUUUACAUUGAUCUUUGUUAGCUAAUAAGACAAAAAGCAAAAUAGCAAGUUUACCUAUUACCGUACAUGUACUGAAUGUAUUCACUUUAUUUUUUUUUGAACUACAUCAUCAGUUUAAAAAAAGUACAGUAGCACAUGUAUACAGUUUAUGGUGGGAUUCCUCUAACUUUCAUGAAUCUGUUUGCAAAAUCUGUACUUUAAAGUUUCAAAUUAUUACCUCUAAUACAAUGUCUGUGUUUUUUUUUUUUAUAAUUACAUGAUUUUUGUAUGUAUGUAAUGAUAACCAAAUCACCCAAUUUUCCCGCAUUUUUUACCAUGUAUUUAGCUUUUUUUUUUUUAACAUGCUUAAGUGUAUUUAUAUCUGACAACUGAUGACCAGGCAGUCUUCAUUUAACAGUGUAAUUCAUAACACAUUUUAGCUGAAUAUUUUUAGGUCACCUGAGUAAACUCAGGUGACCUAUUGCUAUCUGUUUUCGUCCGUCGUCGUGCGUCGUGCGUCGUGCGUUGUGCGUCGUGCGUUAACAUUUGAACAUUUUCAGCUUCUUCUCUGCAACCGCUCAACCAACUUAAACCAAAUUUGGUAUAA